GACGAACCGUGCGAACGUUGUUCGGAAUCACUGGGCUUAAAGGGCGCGUAGGCGGGGUGGACAGUCUAUGGUGAAAUCCUCCGGCUCAACCGGAGAACGGCCGUGGAUACUGCCACCCUCGAGGGGUGUAGGGGCAUGCGGAACUUCGGGUGGAGCGGUGAAAUGCGUAGAUAUCCGAAGGAACGCCGGUGGCGAAAGCGGCGUGCUGGACACCUUCUGACGCUGAGGCGCGAAAGCCAGGGGAGCAAACGGG
rnacentral:rRNA from 1 species